rnacentral:tRNA from 1 species
GUUUAAAUAGUUUAAUAAAAAUGACGGUCUGUGAAUCCGUAGAUAUAGAGAGUCUAUUUUAAACC